GAUGAACGCUGGCGGCGUGCCUAAUACAUGCAAGUCGAGCGAACAGACGAGGAGCUUGCUCCUCUGACGUUAGCGGCGGACGGGUGAGUAACACGUGGAUAACCUACCUAUAAGACUGGGAUAACUUCGGGAAACCGGAGCUAAUACCGGAUAAUAUAUUGAACCGCAUGGUUCAAUAGUGAAAGACGGUUUUGCUGUCACUUAUAGAUGGAUCCGCGCCGCAUUAGCUAGUUGGUAAGGUAACGGCUUACCAAGGCAACGAUGCGUAGCCGACCUGAGAGGGGGGCAGGCCCCAGGGAAAGGAGAAAACGGUACAGACUCCAAGGGAAGGAAGAGGUGGGGAAUUUGCCAAAAGGGGGGAAGGCCGGAAGGGGCAACGCGGGGGGGGGAAGAAAGGUUUUGGAAUGGAAAAACUUUUUUAUUGGGGAAAAAAAAAGGUGGAAAAAAAUAUGCAGGUUUGAAGGGAACCUAAGAAGAAAACCAGGCUAAACUAGGG
rnacentral:rRNA from 1 species